rnacentral:rRNA from 1 species
UAAUUAAGCGGAGGAAAAGAAACUAACUAGGAUUCCCUCAGUAACGGCGAGUGAAGCGGGACUAGCUCAGGAUGUGAAUCUGCGCUUUAUUGGCGCCGAAUUGUGGUCUGUAGACUUUGACGUUAUCUGCCGGGCCAAGUUCCUUGGAAAAGGACAGCUGAGAGGGUGAGACUCCCGUCCGCCUGGUUGAGUGAGUCAUUUGUCAACGAGUCGAGUUGUUUGGGAUUGCAGCUCUAAUUUGGUGGUAAAUUCCAUCUAAAGCUAAAUAUUGGUGGGAGACCGAUAGCGUACAAGUACCGUGAGGGAAAGAUGCAAAGAACUUUGAAAAGAGAGUUAAAGAGUACCUGAAACUGCUGAAACGGAAGCGAAGGAAACCAGUGUUUGUUUGUUCAUAUUUCCCUGGCCACUUGUGGUUUGGGCGCUGUGAGCUUGCGUGAGUUUGGGUUGGUUGAUCCCUUUGGAAGAGCGCAGUCAGAGUUGAUGUCUGUUGCUAGCACUGGGUUUGACUGAUGCAGACGAAAUGGUUUUCUUUACCCCG